GAUGAAGAACGUAGCGAAAUGCGAUACUUGGUGUGAAUUGCAGAAUCCCGUGAACCAUCGAGUCUUUGAACGCAAGUUGCGCCCGAAGCCGUCAGGCCGAGGGCACGCCUGCCUGGGCGUCACACGCCGUUGCCCCCCCGCGCCCCGCACCCAACUCUUUGGGAGCGACCGCGGGGCGGGCUGAUGAUGGCCUCCCGUGCGCUCCGCCGCGCGGUUGGCCCAAAUCCCGAGUCCCCGGCGACGUGCGCCACGACGAUCGGUGGUUGAGAGACCUCUGUCGCAAGUCGUGCGCGCCCGUCGCGUCACGCGGGCUCGCAUAGCGCCUCGCGCCGCACCCGGUGCGGAGCUUUCAACGCGACCCCAGGUCAGGCGGGGUUACCCGCUGAAUUUAAGCAUAUCAAUAAGCGGAGGA
rnacentral:misc_RNA from 1 species